rnacentral:rRNA from 1 species
UACAGAGGUGGCAAGCGUUGUUCGGAAUUACUGGGCGUAAAGGGCGUGUAGGCGGCUUCUUUAGUCAGACGUGAAAUCCCCCGGCUUAACCUGGGAACUGCGUCUGAUACUGGGAAGCUAGAGUUCGGGAGAGGGAUGUAGAAUUCCAGGUGUAGCGGUGAAAUGCGUAGAUAUCUGGAGGAAUACCGGUGGCGAAGGCGGCAUCCUGGACCGAAACUGACGCUUAAGCGCGAAAGCUAGGGGAGCAAACGGG